GACAGUGGCGGACGAGCGAGUAACACGUAAGUACCUGCCCUGUACUCAGGGACAACUUCGCGAAAGCGGAGCUAAUACCGGAUGGUCUCGAAAGAGUAAAGAUUUAUCGGUACGGGAGGGGCUUGCGGCCUAUCAGCUUGUUGGUAAGGUAAAAGCUUACCAAGGCGAUGACGGGUAGCUGGUGUGAGAGCAUGACCAGCCGCGAUGGGACUGAGACACGGCCCAUACUCC
rnacentral:rRNA from 1 species